ensembl:lncRNA
ACUUAUGCUCAUGAGGAAUCACAUAACCAUGUAUUUUGGAGUUGGGGGGAAUAGGAGGUCCUUGAUUCUUCUUUCCCUCCAGCUUCUAAUAUUGCAUAAUUUGGUUAAGAAAGCAUUAGAGAACAAGCUGCUGUGUCUAAAUUAGCUAAAGAAUUGAUAAUUAAUGCUCUGCAAGACUGUAGUCAAUUAUCUUUCAUGGAACAAUUGCCUUACAGCCAAUUGUGAGACCAAACUGCUCGCAGCAAAGUUGCUUACAGCACAAGUACCAGCCACAGGCUGGGAGACACCCACCGGCUUGUUUCCUGACUCUGCUCAGCUGUUCAGAGCUUCAAAGCCUGCGUUAAUGGCACUAGUCAGUCCCCUCCCUUUAUAAGGCAGAAAUGGGGGACAGUAGAGAGAGAAUGAGAUGGGAAAUGGCAGGUAAUGGUUUCCACGAGUAAUCUCUGGAGGCUCCAAAACAGCACACACACACAUUUUAGGAGAGAAAAAGAUAGCAGUCAAUCCUAGAGACAUUUUCAAAUAACACAGGAAACUUGACUACAGGCAGUUAGUUGGGGUGUGGGGCUUUGGUUUUGGGUUUGAUGGAAUGCCCUCUUGGAGGAAGUUGUAUUGAUUGGGAUGUCAGCCGUGGCAUGAGACCAUGCUGCAAGCUUCCAAGGCCCCACUGGCCUCACCUAUGAGGAGUCCGCUCGCCUCUCACUGCUCCUGAUUUAAUUAUUAGUCAUGGGUUUGAAUACAACUUGCAAAUUGUAAUCAGUUUUCGCAUUUGCAACUGAUUUCCGCAGCCACAUAGUAUCUCAAGCUUUUGGCACCCAUCUGGAAACAGAACAGCAGUGGGUUUACCCAGGAGGUAAUUUUCCCUGAUUCAUUUUGAAAGUAAAAAGCCACAAGGUUGGUCCUUCAGCUAGUCUGAAGACGAGGGUGGUCCUGCUUCCCAGAAGGACUGCCUAGUCUCGUCCCUCAGCCUCCUCAGUGAGAAACAGACCAGCAGGAGCAGAGAAGGCAUCAAUUCAAAGACAGCAGGGGCUGCUUGUCAACCCAGGAGCCACUCAAGGCCCGUGUGCAGCGUCCAGGUGAGGAGAUCCCGGCUUCAGGAGUGGGGAGCUGUGAGCACGACCAUGGUCAAGGCUGUGUUCUUUGAGCCUGGCUCACGUCCUGGGCUCUCGCUGGGUAGGCAGCCAUAUUCAGGCCGUCGCACCAUGAGCAGCUGCUGUCCUGGGGUGCGGUAGUGCCACACUGUGCCAUGUGCUCUCCCACCAGGUCCGAGGCG